UUGAAAUUAAUGAUUAUGCACGAGGCAUAAACCACAUUAGGCUUGGUACAUUGAAUAUUUGGGCAAGUAAACACUUUUACACCCAUUCAUGUCAAACCCCUUCAACAUAAAAUCUAUGCACCUAGACUGGGACAAGUCUAGCAUCCACUUUCAUCUAUCACUAUAAAUACCAAGUAUAUUGGAUGCUGCACCCAAGUCUUUUCAUAAAAAUUUUUGUGAUAAACAUGUCUUUG
rnacentral:lncRNA from 1 species